rnacentral:rRNA from 1 species
GACGAACGCUGGCGGCAUGCCUAAUACAUGCAAGUCGAACGCUGAAGCACUCUGCUUGCAGAGUGCGGAUGAGUGGCGAACGGGUGAGUAACACGUGGGAAAUCUGCCUAUAAGAGGGGGAUAACAUUCGGAAACGGAUGCUAAUACCGCAUAUAUUCUUGGACCGCCUGGUCCUUGAAAGAAAGACGGCUUUGCUGUCGCUUAUAGAUGAUCCCGCGGCGUAUUAGUUAGUUGGUGGGGUAAAGGCCUACCAAGACAAUGAUACGUAGCCGACCUGAGAGGGUGAUCGGCCACACUGGGACUGAGACACGGCCCAGACUCCUACGGGAGGCAGUAGUAGGGAAUCUUCCACAAUGGGCGAAAGCCUGAUGGAGCAAUGCCGCGUGAAUGAAGAAGGUCUUCGGAUCGUAAAGUUCUGUUAUUAGAGAAGAACAAGUCAAGGAGUAACUGUCUUGACUUUGACGGUACCUAACCAGAAAGUCACGGCUAACUACGUG